CCUACGGGAGGCAGCAGUGAGGAAUAUUGGUCAAUGGGCGCAAGCCUGAACCAGCCAAGUCGCGUGAGGGAUGACGGUCCUAUGGAUUGUAAACCUCUUUUGUCGGGGAGCAAGGCCCGCCACGUGUGGCGGGAAGGAGAGUACCCGAAGAAAAAGCAUCGGCUAACUCCGUGCCAGCAGCCGCGGUAAUACGGAGGAUGCGAGCGUUAUCCGGAUUUAUUGGGGUUAAGGGGUGCGUAGGCGGAAGGUUAAGUCAGCGGUCAAAUGUCGGUGCUCAACACCGGCCUGCCGUUGAAACUGGUCGUCUUGAGUGGGCGAGAAGUAUGCGGAAUGCGUGGUGUAGCGGUGAAAUGCAUAGAUAUCACGCAGAACUCCGAUUGCGAAGGCAGCAUACCGGCGCUCAACUGACGCUGAGGCACGAAAGCGUGGGGAUCGAACAGGAUUAGAUACCCCAGUAGUC
rnacentral:rRNA from 1 species